GAUGAACGCUGGCGGCGUGCCCAAUACAUGCAAGUCGAGCGAACGGACUAGAAGCUUGCUUCUCUGAUGUUAGCGGCGGACGGGUGAGUAACACGUGGAUAACCUACCUAUAAGACUGGGAUGACUUCGGGAAACCGUAGCUAAUACCGGAUAAUAUUUUGAACCGCAUGGUUCAAAAGUGAAAGACGGUCUUGCUGUCACUUAUAGAUGGAUCCGCGCUGCAUUAGCUAGUUGGUAAGGUAACGGCUUACCAAGGCAACGAUGCAUAGCCGACCUGAGAGGGUGAUCGGCCACACUGGAACUGAGACACGGUCCAGACUCCUACGGGAGGCAGCAGUAGGGAAUCUUCCGCAAUGGGCGAAAGCCUGACGGAGCAACGCCGCGUGAGUGAUGAAGGUCUUCGGAUCGUAAAACUCUGUUAUUAGGGAAGAACAUAUGUGUAAGUAACUGUGCACAUCUUGACGGUACCUAAUCAGAAAGCCACGGCUAACUACGUG
rnacentral:rRNA from 1 species